rnacentral:lncRNA from 1 species
CGUGCUAAUUUAUGCAGUUUAUUUGAGAUUGUGAAGUUUCCUGCGAAGACUCUAUGCACAUUGUGCAAAUGCAUUUGAAAUAGAAACUACUAAAGACAAUCUAUUUUACAUAUCUAUAAAAUAUAUCUAAAUUCCUAGUUUGAUAUAUUACGUAACUGCUGCCAGUUAUGAUAAAAACAAUAAACUUCCUAUUUUCAAAAAAAUAAGAUUUAUGCUAUGGAUAACAAAACACUUGACCACAAUAAAAUUGCUCAUAACAUUGUUAAUGCUGUGGUUCCAUCAUCAUUUAUGAAAACGAACAAAUGCUCUCAACAAAUAUACAAGAAAGUGAAACAUCAUAUUUUUGAAGAUGCACUUAAGUUGCUUCAAAAAAAGCAGCAUGUUACUGAUAUAAUUUUGACACAAAAACAGAAAAUUCAAGCAAUACUCCACAGUGAAAUUUUAUUGGCAGAGCAAAAAAGUUUAAAUAAUGGAUUAAAUGUCACUCGUAAUGAUACUUGUAUUAAAGAAGACAUUAAAAAUAUAAAACCUUUAAACACAAGAAAAGAUUCAGUUGCAGUUAAUAGUUAUUUUGAACACUUGAGUCAAUAUAAAAAAGA